UAGGGAAUCUUCCGCAAUGGACGAAAGUCUGACGGAGCAACGCCGCGUGAGUGAAGAAGGAUUUCGGUUCGUAAAACUCUGUUGUUAGGGAAGAAAAAAUGUAUAGUAACUAUAUACAAAAGAGACGGUACCUAACCAGAAAGCCACGGCUAACUACGUGCCAGCAGCCGCGGUAAUACGUAGGUGGCAAGCGUUGUCCGGAAUUAUUGGGCGUAAAGCGCGCGCAGGUGGUUUAGAAAGUCUGAUGUGAAAGCCCACGGCUCAACCGUGGAGGGUCAUUGGAAACUAAUAAACUUGAGUGCAGGAGAGAAGAGUGGAAUUCCUAGUGUAGCGAUGAAAUGCGUAGAGAUUAGGAGGAACACCGGUGGCGAAAGCGGCUUUUUGGCCUGCAACUGACACUGAGGCGCGAAAGCGUGGGGAGCAAACAGG
rnacentral:rRNA from 1 species